rnacentral:rRNA from 1 species
UACAGAGGGUGCGAGCGUUAAUCGGAAUUAUUGGGCGUAAAGGGCACGUAGGCGGAUAUUUAAGUUAGGUGUGAAAGGCCAGGGCUUAACCUUGGGAAGACAUUUAAGACUGGAUAUCUGGAGUACAGUAGAGGGGAGUGGAAUUCUCGGAGUAGCGGUGAAAUGCGUAGAUAUCGGGAAGAACAUCGGUUGCGAAGGCGGCUCUCUGGACUGAUACUGACGCUGCGGUGCGAAAGCGUGGGUAGCGAACAGG